rnacentral:tRNA from 1 species
GGGGUUGCAACUCAGUGGUAGAGUGAUCACCUCGUAUGCGUGAGGCACUGGGUUCAAUCCUCAGCACCACA